CUCCGGUUCAGAGGCAGCCGCAUCCGGAGGGGGAAGGCAGGGCCCAGCCGCUGAACCAGGGCGGUAGCCGCGAGGGGAGAACGAGCCAGCGAGCGGGCGCGGAGGAGCCGGGGUUGGGCCGCGCCACUGUCUGUCCGCGGGCGGCCGGGAUGGAUCACCACCAGCCCGCCAGCCGCUACCAAGUGCUUCACAAUGAAGAUGAUCCUCCAGAGUCAACUGUUGAGGAGCCAUCCACUUCUACAGAGACUGCACAAAAUUCUCAGCCAGCAGCUUUAUCUGAAGCAGAUGUUUCUCCUCCACCUUAUUGUAGUAUUGCUGUAGAAGCAGCUGCAACCUCAGAAACAGAAACACAUAAUGAAUUUUACCCUGUACCACCUCCAUAUAGUGUAGCUACCUCUCUUCCUACUUAUGAUGAAGCAGAGAAAGCCAAAGCUGCAGCAAUGGCAGCUGCUGCAGCAGAUGCUGCCCAAAGACACGGCCAGUUUAGGGAGUCUAGGAGUCUGUUUGAUGAAAUAUUCCUCAGUCCACCAGAGGAAGAAGAAUAUCCACCUCGGGAUGACUUCAGUGAUGCAGAUCAACUUAGAGUUGGCAAUGAUGGCAUCUUCAUGUUGGCAUUUUUCAAUGUAAAACAGUACCUGUUACUCAGAAAAAUGGCAUUUAUUUUCAACUGGAUUGGAUUUUGUUUAUCCUUCUGUAUAACUAACACCAUAGCAGGAAGGUAUGGUGCAAUCUGUGGAUUUGGCCUAUCGCUGAUCAAAUGGAUUCUCAUUGUACGGUUCUCAGACUACUUUACUGGAUAUUUCAAUGGACAGUACUGGCUUUGGUGGAUAUUUCUUGUACUUGGUCUCCUCCUGUUCUUCCGAGGGUUUGUCAAUUACCUUAAAGUCAGAAACAUGUCUGAAAGCAUGGCAGCUGCUCAUAGAACAAGAUUUUUCUUCUUGUAUUAGAGAUUGGCCGCAGGAUCAGUAUGAAGUAACCAGCAACACAGUAUUGGAAGUCUGGGGGGAAAAACUGAGACACUUAGUCUAGAAAUGAUGGGUCUUUUAUUUAAGAUGGUGGCAUCCACUCAGACACCUACAGAUAAAAUAUGAAAAAUAAUUACUUGUGCUGUGCUUUACAGAUCUUGAUCAAGAAAUAAAUCUAAACUGCAUCAACCAGACAUUCCUUUCCUUUACCAAUGUGAAAUUUCCAGAUGAUCGGUAGCCCUCCAAGUUAAUAGGAUAGAAGACUACUAAAAACAGAAGACAAAUUUGUGAAGAAAAGAUACAGCUUCUAAAAUGAAUGACAGGGUGGUUUUUGCUUAAGUGCCAGUUCUGUUCAUUCUAGUAAAUAUUUAUAUUAAGUAUUGCCUUUGUUUUUGCACAUUUGCAUAUGUGCUAACUAAAGGAUAGGAUUGAAAUGAGAACAAACCAUACAUACAGUCUGAUGAUAGAGCUUAAGUACAGUCAGACUUGGUUAAUCUGUGCUUGUUGUUUGUGAAAGAUUUAAGUGGCGGUUUGUCUCAUAGCAUGUAUGUACCAUUGUCUUGUUGAUCUGAAGUUAAAUUGAGAGUAAAAAUGGGAUAUACUAAAUGAUUCAGAUUAACCAGGUCAGACUUGUAGUUAGUUUUUUAUGUAAUUUAGGUUCAUCUAAUGAUUGUGCAACAUACAACCUUUUUGUUAUAAAGUUUACUAAAACCUGCAGCUCCUGAUUAUUAUAAACCUGUAUCGAUCAGCUUUUAUCAAACUCUGACCAAAAUAUCAAUUGAUUUAAAAAUGAAAUACCCCUUCUAGCUCCUGUGUAAAUAACUAUGCCUAGAUUACUGUUUAGAUUGCUUCUUAGGAAUUAUGUCAAAAUAUAUUUGUAACCACAGUAUUUUCUCAUUCACUGUAAAUUUUGUUUAAUCUUAUAUGGACAAUAUAUAUACACACUAUUUUUUGCUAAUUUGGAUGUUAAAGUAUAAUUUUAUUUUGGGUAUAAUUCUAAAAGAGGGCAAAAGCUUUUAAAUGUCCAUCUGAACAAUUUAGUUUCCUCACAGUAUGAUUUGAAUAACUAAUUUGGGCCUGAUCCUGAAAACCCUUACUCACAUGGAAAGUCCCAUUAAAAGGGAUGGUGCUACUUUCACAAGCAAGCAUUGGGCCAUCAGGCCCUGAUCCUGCAAUUGGAUCCGUGUAUUGGGCCUCUGCUUCUGCACAGGUGCAAUUGCAGAUCAGUUACUUGGUUUGUAACAUUGAUCAUCUUACUUAAGAAGGUUUGUGUUAUAUAAAGGCAAUCUGUUUUAUUUAAAUUUCUCAAAAGGGCUUUUAUAGCUGUCUUAUCAUGCUUGUUUAGAAUAAAUACUCCAGUGUUACAUAAGAAUGAAGCUGAUGAGUACAUUUUUGUCACUUUGGAAAUAACAUUUUUUUCUUCAUGGGUGUUUUUAUUUAAGGCUCUACUAGCAAAAAUAGGAACAGUGGGCUCUUGAUAGUAUUUACUUAAAAUAGAGGUAUUACUCUAAAAUAUAUCAUCUCUAGAAGGGUGCAUUCUCCUGUUCAUACACAUACAUAACUCCCAAUAAUGUCUGUGAGACUUAUGAUUCUGACACAAUGGGAGAAUUAGACCUCUUAAUUCUUUACUACAACUGGAAUCUCAGUUGCAGCCAGUAAUCAAUAUAUUUUGCAUCUUUGAAAAACAUUUAUUUUCUUUCUGUUUUUUUAUUGGAACUUUGCUUUAAUGCUAACAUUAAAAGAAUGAGAUUUAUGUUGUCUUAAGUUAGUGCUAUAUUCAAUUUUGUAUCUAUACUGAAUGUUUUAAAAAAUGCAUAUGUAAACUGGUCACAUUGUUCAUUAUUCUUAAUCUUUCAAAACUACAUAAGGUAAAUGAUCAUGGACUAACACUUCAGGGUAAAACUCCUCUUUCCAGUCUUUCCUGAAAAAAAAUAAAAUUCAUUAUGUUUAAUAGUU